GCCCCUAUAGCUCAGGUGGAUAGAGCAGCGGUUUCCUAAACCGCGUGUCGGGUGUUCGAGUCACCCUAGGGGCACCA
rnacentral:tRNA from 2 species